GACGAACGCUGGCGGUGUGCUUAACACAUGCAAGUCGAACGGUAAGGCCCUUUCGGGGGUACACGAGUGGCGAACGGGUGAGUAACACGUGAGUAACCUGUCCUCAUCUCUGGGAUAACAGUCGGAAACGGUUGCUAAUACUGGAUAUGAGCUUGCAAGGCAUCUUGUGGGUUGGAAAGAUUUUUUUGGUUGGGGAUGGACUCGCGGCCUAUCAGCUUGUUGGUGAGGUAGUGGCUCACCAAGGCUUCGACGGGUAGCCGGCCUGAGAGGGCGACCGGCGACAUUGGGACUGAGAUACGGCCCAGACUCCUACGGGAGGCAGCAGUGGGGAAUAUUGCACAAUGGACGGAAGUCUGAUGCAGAAACGCCGCGUGCGGGAUGACGGCCUUCGGGUUGUAAACCGCUUUCAAUUGUGACGAAGCUUUUUGUGACGGUAGCAGUAGAAGAAGCACCGGCUAACUACGUG
rnacentral:rRNA from 1 species